rnacentral:rRNA from 1 species
UACGAAGGGGGCUAGCGUUGUUCGGAAUUACUGGGCGUAAAGGGCGCGUAGGCGGUGUGUCAAGUCAGGCGUGAAAGCCCCCGGGCUCAACCUGGGAACAGCGCUUGAGACUGGCACGCUCGAGUUCGGGAGAGGAUGGUGGAAUUCCCAGUGUAGUGGUGAAAUACGUAGAGAUUGGGAAGAACACCAGUGGCGAAGGCGGCUAUCUGGGACGGUUUCUGACACUAAGACUCGAAAGCGUGGGGAGCAACAGG